CACUCCUGCGGGAGGCAGCAGUGGGGAAUUUUGGACAAUGGGCGAAAGCCUGAUCCAGCAAUGCCGCGUGCAGGAUGAAGGCCUUCGGGUUGUAAACUGCUUUUGUACGGAACGAAAAAGCUCCUUCUAAUACAGGGGGCCCAUGACGGUACCGUAAGAAUAAGCACCGGCUAACUACGUGCCAGCAGCCGCGGUAAUACGUAGGGUGCGAGCGUUAAUCGGAAUUACUGGGCGUAAAGCGUGCGCAGGCGGUUAUGUAAGACAGAUGUGAAAUCCCCGGGCUCAACCUGGGAACUGCAUUUGUGACUGCAUGGCUAGAGUACGGUAGAGGGGGAUGGAAUUCCGCGUGUAGCAGUGAAAUGCGUAGAUAUGCGGAGGAACACCGAUGGCGAAGGCAAUCCCCUGGACCUGUACUGACGCUCAUGCACGAAAGCGUGGGGAGCAAACAGGAUUAGAAACCCGUGUAGUCC
rnacentral:rRNA from 1 species